CCUACGGGUGGCAGCAGUGGGGGAUAUUGCACAAUGGGGGGAACCCUGAUGCAGCGACGCCGCGUGGGUGAAGGAGCGUUUCGGCGCGUAAAGCCCUAUCGGCAGGGAAGAAGGAGGACGGUACCUGACUAAGAAGCCACGGCUAACUACGUGCCAGCAGCCGCGGUAAGACGUAGGGGGCAAGGGUUAUCCGGAUGUACUGGGGGUAAAGGGGGUGAAGACGGCAGCGCAAGCCAGGAGUGAAAGCCCGCGGCCCAACCCCGGGACUGCUCUUGGAACUGCCCGGCUGGAGUGCAGGAGGGGCAGGCGGAAUUCGUGGUGUAGCGGUGAAAUGCGUAGAUAUCAGGAGGAACACCGGUGGCGAAGGCGGCCUGCUGGACUGCGACUGACGUUGAGGCUCGAAAGUGUGGGUAGCAAACAGGAUUAGAUACCCCAGUAGUC
rnacentral:rRNA from 1 species